rnacentral:rRNA from 1 species
GAUGAACGCUGGCGGCGUGCCUAAUACAUGCAAGUCGAGCGAAUGGAUUAAGAGCUUGCUCUUAUGAAGUUAGCGGCGGACGGGUGAGUAACACGUGGGUAACCUGCCCAUAAGACUGGGAUAACUCCGGGAAACCGGGGCUAAUACCGGAUAAUAUUUUGAACUGCAUGGUUCAAAAUUGAAAGGCGGCUUCGGCUGUCACUUAUGGAUGGACCCGCGUCGCAUUAGCUAGUUGGUGAGGUAACGGCUCACCAAGGCAACGAUGCGUAGCCGACCUGGGAGGGUGAUCGGCCACACUGGGACUGAGACACGGCCCAGACUCCUACGGGAGGCAGCAGUAGGGAAUCUUCCGCAAUGGACGAAAGUCUGACGGAGCAACGCCGCGUGAGUGAUGAAGGCUUUCGGGUCGUAAAACUCUGUUGUUAGGGAAGAACAAGUGCUAGUUGAAUAAGCUGGCACCUUGACGGUACCUAACCAGAAAGCCACGGCUAACUACGUGCCAGCAGCCGCCGCAG